CAUAAAAAUUCUUGUUUACAUAAUGACAUAUAUCAUCACAUGUGUCUAAAUCUGUGUGAUCGCAAACAGCUUUGCGUAAACCAUAAUUAGGUUACAGCUAGGGAAGGUGAAUUCCCAAAAACGCGAAAUUUGGCUACAAAGUAACAACACUUGGUCAGCACCUCAUAAGGAACAUUCCUGCUAUAUUUAGUUUCAUUCCAUUUUAUGCAUUUCCCAUAAGGUCCUAUGUUAAA
rnacentral:lncRNA from 1 species